rnacentral:rRNA from 1 species
UCCGGUUGAUCCUGCCGGAGGUCACUGCUAUCGGGGUUCGAUUAAGCCAUGCGAGUCGAGAGGGUUCAGACCCUCGGCGGACUGCUCAGUAACACGUGGAUAACCUGACCUGUGGUGGAGGAUAACCCCGGGAAACUGGGGAUAAUACUCCAUAAGUUACGAAAUCUGGAAUGAUUUGUAGCUGAAAGCUCCGGCGCCACAGGAUGGAUCUGCGGACGAUUAGGUAGUAGUUGGGGUAGAGGCCCAACUAGCCUGUAAUCGGUACGGGUUGUGGGAGCAAGAGCCCGGAGAUGGAAUCUGAGACACGAUUCCAGGCCCUACGGGGCGCAGCAGGCGCGAAAACUUUACAAUGCAGGACACUGUGAUAAGGGAACCCCGAGUGCCCGUACACGCGGGCUGUCUGGGUGUAUAAAAUGCACCCAAAGAAAGGGCCGGGCAAGACCGGUGCCAGACGCCG